CCUCCCACCUCCCAGCAUCCUACAGGUGCGGCUGGGUCAGGACAUGGGAUCCCCACUCUAUAUGCAGGAAUGGGGCCACAGAGGUCGGGGAAGAGCAGGUGCCACCAGCACGACCGAUUCGGUCCUGGAAGCUCAGGCCACCUGUCCCUUGCAGCAGGUCCAAGUGUGGCGGUCCAGGGCUGAUACAGACAGAGACUGUAAUGAAUAGACAAAUUCCCUCGGGCUUCUAACUCCCAACACUG